UACGUAGGGUGCGAGCGUUAAUCGGAAUUACUGGGCGUAAAGCGUGCGCAGGCGGUUCGUUAAGUUCGUUGUGAAAGCCCCGGGCUCAACCUGGGAACUGCAAUGGAAACUGGCGGGCUUGAGUGUGGCAGAGGGGGGUGGAAGUUCCGCGUGUAGCAGUGAAAUGCGUAGAGAUGCGGAGGAACACCGAUGGCGAAGGCAGCCCCCUGGGCCAACACUGACGCUCAGGCACGAAAGCGUGGGGAGCAAACAGG
rnacentral:rRNA from 1 species